UGUGAACUUCCUGCAAAAAGCUUUGAGGAGACAUCGUGAACAAAGAAAUCAUUGCCUGGAGGCUUCAAGGCUUACUAAGCUGGAUCAUAGACCUUAGGGAGAGAUACAACUAGCCUCUAGGCUUCUCCAGGGACAUUGGAAGACUCCAUGUCUGCCCUGUCUACCUGGAACCCCCUAGCUGUGUCAAGUGGAUCAAGUAGGGUAUGGUUGGAAGAGGAGAUGAAAGCCAUGCUAUCAUGUGCCAGCUGCUCCAUCCACACUGGGCUCUGGAAUCAUGAUCACCAGGGAAGUUCAGCUGGAAAGGCCAGCAGUGGAAUCCAGUGGUGAGCCUGGCUCUCUGUGCUGCAUGCUGCUGCUCGCUCACCAGAGCCUUGUCUACAGCACCACUGACUCUGAACUGGGGCAGCAGCACACAGGUUCUCUCCAGUCUCAGAAAAACGAGGGCCUGCUCCGAACUUCAGGAGCAGCAGCCACACUUAGGGAGAGAGCACCUGUCAGGCAAGUUAUCACUGCUUCCGGUUUUGUGGAACUAUUCCAAUGUGGCCAGGUCCCCCAGGAGUCCAGAAGAGAGAUCCCCUUGUUUAUUGAAUCUAGCAUUCUCUGAUAUUUUGGAGGGGGGGGUGUCUGGAAAACCUCACUGCUAGAUAAACAUAUAUGCUCUCCCUGAACAAGGUUUCAGCUUCUUUUAGAGAAAAAAAUAUAUGUUCUCUAUAAACAGACUGUAUAAGGGAAGUGGAAAGGACUUGGGAGACUGGUUAAGCAAGACCUAUGCCUCUGA